rnacentral:rRNA from 1 species
UACGGAGGGUGCGAGCGUUGUCCGGAAUCACUGGGCGUAAAGGGCGCGUAGGUGGCCUGUGGAAGUCUGCGGUGAAAGCCCGGCGCUCAACGCCGGGUCGGCCGUGGAUACUCUCGGGCUUGAGCUUACUAGAGGCAGAUGGAAUUCCGGGUGUAGCGGUGAAAUGCGUAGAUAUCAGGAGGAACACCGGUGGCGAAGGCGUACAUCUGGCCCGAUACUGACGCUGAGGCGCGAAAGCUAGGGGAGCAAACGGG